GAUGAACGCUGGCGGCGUGCCUAAUACAUGCAAGUCGAGCGAACAGAUGAGGAGCUUGCUCCUCUGACGUUAGCGGCGGACGGGUGAGUAACACGUGGAUAACCUACCUAUAAGACUGGGAUAACUACGGGAAACCGGAGCUAAUACCGGAUAAUAUAUUGAACCGCAUGGUUGAAUAGUGAAAGACGGUUUUGCUGUCACUUAUAGAUGGAUCCGCGCCGCAUUAGCUAGUUGGUAAGGUAACGGCUUACCAAGGCAACGAUGCGUAGCCGACCUGAGAGGGUGAUCGGCCACACUGGAACUGAGACACGGUCCAGACUCCUACGGGAGGCAGCAGUAGGGAAUCUUCCGCAAUGGGCGAAAGCCUGACGGAGCAACGCCGCGUGAGUGAUGAAGGUCUUCGGAUCGUAAAACUCUGUUAUUAGGGAAGAACAAAUGUGUAAGUAACUAUGCACGUCUUGACGGUACCUAAUCAGAAAGCCACGGCUAACUACGUG
rnacentral:rRNA from 1 species